rnacentral:ncRNA from 1 species
GAUCCUAAACUUGCCGUUGUUUUUUAUCAAAAUUACACAUGCAAGCCUCCACACACCAGUGAAAAUGCCCACACACUUCCUCUACAGAAAGAAAGGAGCGGGCAUCAGGAUCACCACGAUUAGCCUACGACGCCUUGCUACGCCACACCCCCACGGGCCUACAGCAGUGAAUAACAUUAAGACAUGAGUGAAAACUCGACUUAGUUAUGAUUUUUACGGCCGGUAAAUUUCGUGCCAGCCACCGCGGUUAUACGAAAGGCCGAAAACAACGUCCCCACGGCGUAAAAAGUGACCAGGGGCCUGUUAUACCCCUUAGGGGAAACCUCUGGCAAAGUUGUAAAACACACCAGCCAACAGUAACAACAACAAACGCCCCUAAUAAACCUAACACCCUUACCUCACGAAAGUUAGGAGACAAACUGGGAUUAGAUACCCCACUAUGCCUAACCGUAAACACAGACAAUUUAACCCACAAUAUUGUCCGCCAGAGAACUACAAACGAAAAGUUUAAAACUCAAAGGAUUUGGCGGUACCCAACCCCGACCUAGAGGAGCCUGUCCUAUAAUCGAUACCCCACGUUUUACCUUACCACCCCUUGCAACUCAGCCUAUAUACCGCCGUCGUCAGCCUACCUUGUGAAAGAACACGAAGUAGACAAGACAGUUACCAACUAACACGUCAGGUCAAGGUGUAGCACAUGGGCUGGAAGAGAUGGGCUACAUUUUCUUAAACAGAAAACACCAACAGCACAAUGAAACAAGUGCCAAAAGGCGGAUUUAGCAGUAAGACCGACAAGACACUCUGUCUUAAACACGCUCUAGGGUGCGCACACACCGC